AGGACUAACGCUGGCGGCGUGCCUAACACAUGCAAGUCGAACGAGGUAGCAAUACCUAGUGGCAGACGGGUGAGUAACACGUGGUCAACCUGCCUUCGCGUGGGGGAUAACUAGUCGAAAGGUUAGCUAAUACCGCAUACGAUCGUUUCGGGGCAUCCCGAGACGAUGAAAGGAGCAAUCCGCACGAAGAGGGGACUGCGUCCCAUUAGUUAGUUGGUGGGGUAAUGGCCUACCAAGACUCCGAUGGGUAGCUGGCUUGAGAGAGCGACCAGCCACACUGGAACUGAGACACGGUCCAGACUCCUACGGGAGGCAGCAGUGAGGAAUUUUCCGCAAUGGGCGAAAGCCUGACGGAGCGACGCCGCGUGUGGGAAGAAGGCCUUCGGGCGUAAACCACUGUCGAAGGGGACGAUAUUGACGGUACCCUUGGAGGAAGCCCCGGCUAACUACGUGCCAGCAGCCGC
rnacentral:rRNA from 1 species